GACGAACCGUGCGAACGUUAUUCGGAAUCACUGGGCUUAAAGCGCGUGUAGGCGGGACGGCACGUCGGUCGCUGAAAUCCCCCGGCUCAACCGGGGAAGGGGCGCCGAUACGACCGCCCUGGAGGGACGUAGGGGGAGCUGGAACUUCCGGUGGAGCGGUGAAAUGCGUUGAGAUCGGAAGGAACGCCCGUGGCGAAAGCGAGCUCCUUGACGUUCACUGACGCUGAGACGCGAAAGCCAGGGGAGCGAACGGG
rnacentral:rRNA from 1 species